GCUAACAAUUUUGUUUUGAGAUUUGAUACAGACUGAAAGUACCUAGGCAGGAUAUGGUUAGUAGUACUAGGGAGGAUAUAGUAGCUAGUUGGUUUUUUCAGUUUUUGAAUCCAACUAUUUGCUUUGCUUGCAAUAGCAAAUAACCCAAAAAAGGCAACAAAAUUCAUGAUUGGCUUUGGUGGAAUCUGAAAAAUAAGACCAUCAACUUUCUGUGGCUGUAGAUGGGCUGCUAAACUCUAGCGUUUCAAUUAUUAUUAUUAUUAUUAUUAGUAGCAGCAGCAACAUUAGUAGUAGUACUACUAUUAUUAUUAUCCGUCUAUUUUAAC
rnacentral:lncRNA from 1 species